rnacentral:rRNA from 2 species
GGGGAAUAUUGGACAAUGGGCGCAAGCCUGAUCCAGCCAUGCCGCGUGUGUGAAGAAGGCCCUCGGGUUGUAAAGCACUUUCAGUGGGGAAGAAAGCCUUGGGGCUAAUACCCUCGAGGAAGGACAUCACCCACAGAAGAAGCACCGGCUAACUCCGUGCCAGCAGCCGCGGUAAUACGGAGGGUGCGAGCGUUAAUCGGAAUUACUGGGCGUAAAGCGCGCGUAGGUGGCUUGAUAAGCCGGUUGUGAAAGCCCCGGGCUCAACCUGGGAACGGCAUCCGGAACUGUCAGGCUAGAGUGCAGGAGAGGAAGGUAGAAUUCCCGGUGUAGCGGUGAAAUGCGUAGAGAUCGGGAGGAAUACCAGUGGCGAAGGCGGCCUUCUGGACUGACACUGACACUGAGGUGCGAAAGCGUGGGUAGCAAACAGGAUUAGAUACCCUGGUAGUCCACGCCGUAAACGAUGUCGACUAGCCGUUGGGAGCCUCGAGUUCUUAGUGGCGCAGUUAACGCGAUAAGUCGACCGCCUGGGGAGUACGGCCGCAAGGUUAAAAC